GCGCCGGUAGCUCAGUCGGUAGAGCACCUGCCUUUUAAGCAGAGGGUCGUGGGUUCGAUUCCCUCCCGGCGCA
rfam:Parcubacteria bacterium GW2011_GWF2_44_7 TW72_C0002, whole genome shotgun sequence.